rnacentral:pre_miRNA from 2 species
UGGAAGACUAGUGAUUUUGUUGUGAAAAUGAACAAAAACCAACAACAAACCGCAGUCGUCCUCU